rnacentral:lncRNA from 1 species
AAUUAAACUAAUUUCUGUUUUUUAAUUGUUUUUCUGGGUGUGAAAUGCAGUCCUGAUGAUACUCCUUGGGAUGGAGGUGAGUUGUACUUUCCUUGCAUUUUAACACUGGCCUAAAAGAAUGCCUGAACUCAGUAGUUUGAGAUAUGCUGUUAGCUUGCUCAUAGUUUUGUCUAAUUUUAUGUGUGCUUGUCUAUGCUAGUAUGGUGUAAACACUGGCCUAAAAGAAUGUCUAAACUCAGUAGUUUGAAAUAUGCUGUUAGCUUGCUCAUAGUUUUUUCUAAUUUUAUGUGUGAUUGUGGUGUUUCGAUUUUCUAAGUCUAUACUUUUUCUGUCAUCUAAUUUGUCAUUUAUGUUCUCAUGCCCUCUGUCCACCCACACGCAAUAAUAAAAAUAAGAAUAUGAAGGAAAAGAGGAAGAGAAGAACAAGUGCAGUUGUAAGUUUUAUUAAAAUCAGUCAGCAAUGGUUGUGCCUCGUGCACUAGUUUUUUAAGAUCAUAUUCUCAAGUGCUCUGAUGGCAAGAAUUUAUUUCUUUGAUCUUCCGAUCCGAGCUUUUUUGUCAUGCCAUUUCUAUGUUUUUCCACCUUGUUAUCUGUCAUCAUUCUAUUGCUUGACGCCAAAUGCAAGUUAGUGAGUGAGGAAGUGUUGCAACCUUUAUCUUCUAUGCUAUGCUGCAAUGGGUUCUCUGCAUUUGGUCAAACUCUGGUGUAGGUGAUUUAGCUGUUUGUGCAGCGCAGCUGGGCUGAUCCACGUGCUUAGCUUUUAGAAAUAUGCAUCUUGUCUUAUUCUUGCCUAAUCUUGUGACAAAGGAUCUUAUUUGCCUGCUGUUGAACCAAAAAAUAUCCUCUAGUGGGCGUUUCACGUGGUUACAUUUGUUUGGACUGACCAAGAAAUGCAUUACACAUUUGAAGCAAUUCGAAUUUUGUGCUAUCCCUUCUGGCGUGUUUGUUAUUUGCUCCACAGAAGAAAAGACUACAUUCUAAACCUUUUCCUGAAUGAAUUAUGUGUUAAAAUCUUCUUUCCCUGACAUGAAUUCGCUAUUUGAUCUAUCACAAAACCAUCUGAUAACAUCAGGUACGUUUAAAUGACGCUUCAAUUCUCCGAGGAUUAUCCGAACAAGCCACCAAC